GGCCAACUAGCUCAGUUGAUCAAAGUAUUGCACUAAUGUGGUAUAAUAUCGAAGGUCUUGGGUUCGAUUCCUACGUUGGCUA